rnacentral:tRNA from 2 species
GAGGGUAUAGCUCAGUGCUAAGAGCACUUGCCUAACAUGCACAAGGCCUUGGGUUUGAAUCCCAGUUUCUGUG